ACAGACGUCAGUUUUUGACAAAUAGUUUUGAGUCUCUUUUCUAGAAGCGAAAACUUCAACUUGCAAAUGGUUUCAAGUAUACCAAGGGCCUCUGUGCAAACGCCUUCCUCGACUAAUGGACUGAUACAGAAAAGAUUGUCAAGAACAUUUAAGAGAUAACAAUAGCCAAAGCCAUUGGCUAAUUCUUCUAUUCUUCUCUUCAAAGAACUACACUGAUGUUAAACAUAUAAAGUCAAGAAAUCUCAACAUAUAUUUUCAAGCAAGACAGUUUUCAAUUUAACGCUUAGUUGGUCGUAGGAAUAUUGCAGACACGAUAGCUGAAUUCGAAGACGAACCCCUUUCAUCUAAAUUUGGGUUGUUGGGAGAAGACAGAAGAAACUAAAAUAGCUGAAGAAGUUAUAAAAGUGAAUUUGUGAGUAUAUCUUAAGUUUAAGGAACGACAUAUGAAGUUUUUCGCUUCGCGACUCAUUAUCAAGAAAACAUAAAAGAUAUUAAUCAUCUCUUCACUAGGCAGUUAGAAUUAAGAUCCCGGAAGUCUCAAAAUCUGUGAAAUUAAAAUU